AAUCAACGCUGGCGGCGUGCCUAACACAUGCAAGUCGCACGAGAAAAUCCCCGCAAGGGGAUGAGUACAGUGGCGUACGGGUGAGUAACACGUGACUAACCUACCCUAAAGUGGGGGGAUAACCUCGGGAAACCGGGGCUAAUACCGCAUACUCUCGCGAGGUGAAGAUCCUUGUGAGCAAAGCCGAAAGGCGCUUAUGGAGGGGGUCGCGGCUGAUUAGCUAGUUGGCGGGGUAAUGGCCCACCAAGGCAAUGAUCAGUAUCCGGCCUGAGAGGGCGCACGGACACACUGGAACUGAAACACGGUCCAGACUCCUACGGGAGGCAGCAGUGGGGAAUUUUGCGCAAUGGGGGAAACCCUGACGCAGCAACGCCGCGUGGAGGAUGAAGUCCCUUGGGACGUAAACUCCUUUCGAUCGGGACGAUUAUGACGGUACCGGAAGAAG
rnacentral:rRNA from 1 species